UCCCUCAGGGUUAUAGAAAACAAAAAAAUUUUCUUAUGCAUUAUGAUGAGUUAUUCAAAGAUAUUUAACCUUGUCAAUGUGCUUUUGUAAGUGUAUAUAAACUAUAUAUACACUAUGUAGGAAAUCCAUAUUUAUGGAUUUAUGUUUGUUUGUUGUUUAAGAUACAACCAUCUUUCCCUGAUCUUAUAUAUAAUUAUAAUUUCUGUAAAAAAAAAAAAAAAAAGGCAUUAGGGACAGGUACACUAACACCAUAUAGCAUACUUACUACUUAAAAAUUAAGAUUACCCCAUAAUGAAUUACAUUACUAGCCCAAUCCAACCCUUACAAUAACAAUGAUAAAUGCUGAUCAAUACUUAUUUAUACUACUUUUUAUUUUUAUUUAUCGAAAAUGACUGAUCUUCUUGCUAGAUAAGACCCCUCUUCCUCGUCUGGGAUCGUUUAGAGCCCUUUAAAGCUGUUUUUAAACUGCAUUUUGGAAGUUCAAACUUGGACACCAUUGAAGUCCACUAUAUGGAGAGAAAUCCUACAAUGUUUUCCUCAAGAAACAUAAUUUCUUACCGACUGAAGAAAGAAAGACACAAACAUCUUGGAUGAUAAGAGGGUGAGUACCUGUAAAAAUAUUUGUUCUGGAAGUGAACUUCUCUUUUAAAGGUGAGAAUCGAGAUAUUUCAUGAUAUAUUUAAUGCGUUUGGGAAUGUUUCGAAUAAAAAGGAAAAAAAAUAAAUAAAACAUAAGUGUAUGGCUGCUGUCUCACAUGAUGACUACACGGUCUAUUAUAACCUACAUACUUAUAGCAGCCUAGAUAUUUAGCCUAUUUGCGCGCAUCAGUGAGUAGCUCUCAAAACGCGAGUUUUACUUUCGGUUUCGAAACGAUCGCGCGAAUUUUCGGCGUUGCUGCGUGUAUUCUACAAUACAAGAAUGCAGCCUAGUCAUGUCUGUGCGUUAAUCCGCCCCAGAAUUAGGAAUUUCAAUGAAGAGAAGAACUACAGAUCACUUAUGUACAAUAUGUACAGUAGGGUUGAUGAAGAAAGUAAUUAUAUGUUCAUUCUCCAGUUCAGCAUUGAUUUUAAUUAAGUCGAUAUAAUCAAAGAACGGGCAGGAUUACAUAUAUGAAAUAUAUAAAAUUUUAUUUAGACUUCAGAGAGUAAAUGUGAUAAUAGUAUUCAUGUGAAUUCCAGCACACAUAAGAAUUAAAGGGAACGAAGUUGCAGAUGUUUUAGCUAAGGAGGCAUGUAGACUAGAUGAUAUUAUAGAAUGAGCAUAUAGAAAAUCAGGCAAAAAUAAUAGUUUAGAAUAGUAUAAUAAAGGAAUGGCGGUAUAACUGGGAUAGGGAAGUAAUAGGCAGACAUUACUAUAGAAUCCAGGAGAAAGUAGGAAGCAGGAGGGUAUGUAAAGGAAAUAACAAAAGGUGUAAUUACACGAUUGUAUAAUUACACGAUGAGACACACAGGGUUAAAUAAAACAUUAUAUCUAAUAGGAGAACAUCCCACUGGCUGAUGUGAUCAUUGUCAGGAGGAGAAAUCAGUGGAACACACUGUCGCUGCCAAAAGUACAUCACAGAAAGAGAAAUAUUAAAACUUAGGGAACAAAGUUCUAUAGAAAUUAGCCUUAAAGACAUACUUAAUAGUCAUAAUGAAAGUUUAUUAAAUUAUCUGAGGAUAACUAGCUUUGUUAACGGGAUUUUUAUUGUUGUUGUUGUUGUUGUUGUUGUUGUUGUUAUCUGGGAGGUAUUUCACUCAGGCCCACACUCCUGUACAGUAGGUGGCGGUAAUGCACCUUAACGUUGGAUGUCGACCGCCAUUAAAACAACAAAGAAGAAGAAGAAGAAGAAGAAGAAGCAGUGGAAACGACGCUCGUCCUCUAGUGGUCAAGCGAUGUAUUAGUUUAAUUUCUGAUGGUAGCGAUUACUGAGCUAGAACUAGAGCAGGAGUACAUUACUUGAGCAGUGUCUGAUCUACCAUUAUCAUAGGAAACUUAAGAUGCUGAAGAUCACGACUGCAGCCAAAAUCAACAAAGAUUCAGCAGCAGCAGAGAUCAGUACUGUCAGAGAGACUGAAUCUGGAGGAUAUGAAGGACAGCAAAAGAGAUGUAAUAGUUCACUGAUGUCCAGAUGUCUGGUCUGGUUGCUGAUGGGAUUGUUGAUCACACAGCUGUAGGUGUUUUUAUCCUGAUAUUCCACCUCCAGAGGUAGAGAGAGACUGAUGCUGAGAUCAGACACACUGAUGCUGGACAAUAAACUGUUUCCUUUGUACCAGGAGAGACUCACAUCACUCACAUUCACCACUGAACACAACAAUGAACAAUUCUGCUGUGAUGAUGAAGAACAGUUUGAAGAGUUACUGAUGAUGACAGAAACAGGCAGAUGAGCUGCAAAACAUCAGAGAAUAAAAAGGAUGACGGUCAAUGUUAGCAAACAUGAUGAUGAUGAUGAUGAUGAUGAUGGUGAAGAACAUUGUGAAGAGUUACUGCUGAUGACAGGAACAGGCAGACAAACUGAAAACAUGACAGGAUAAGAGGAAUAUGAACACAGCUGUCAAUUUAUUUUCAGUGUUGUGAAUUAUAGUCAGUGUAAUACAUGUUGUGUUGAGUGAGUGUUUAAUGUGUUGACAGUCACUAAAUGUGUCUGUCAUCGCAAAAUAUAAUAAAUAUUUGCUGUGCAAACAGAAUAUGUGAACAUUUCAACAAAUGAUCUCUACUCACCAUAAACAUAAACACUAAAUGUUUUUGA